rnacentral:rRNA from 1 species
CCUACGGGAGGCAGCAGUGGGGAAUAUUGGGCAAUGGGCGCAAGCCUGACCCAGCAAUGCCGCGUGAAGGAAGAAGGCUUUCGGGUUGUAAACUUCUUUGACAGGGGAAGAGCAGAAGACGGUACCCUGAAAACAAGCCACGGCUAACUACGUGCCAGCAGCCGCGGUAAUACGUAGGUGGCAAGCGUUGUCCGGAUUUACUGGGUGUAAAGGGCGUGUAGCCGGGAAGGCAAGUCAGAUGUGAAAUCUGGAGGCUCAACCUCCAAAUUGCAUUUGAAACUGUUUUUCUUUAGUACUGGAGAGGCAGACGGAAUUCCUUGGGGAGCGGUGAAAUGCGUAGAAAGAAGGAGGAACACCAGGGGCGAAGGGGGUCUGCUGGACAGCAACUGACGGUGAGGCGCGAAAGCGGGGGGAGCAAACAGGAUUAGAUACCCCAGUAGUC